UCGGGGGGGGCGGGCCUAAACAUGCAGUCGAGCGGUAGAGAGAAGCUUGCUUCUCUUGAGAGCGGCGGACGGGUGAGUAAUACCUAGGAAUCUGCCUGAUAGUGGGGGAUAACGUUCGGAAACGGACGCUAAUACCGCAUACGUCCUACGGGAGAAAGCAGGGGACCUUCGGGCCUUGCGCUAUCAGAUGAGCCUAGGUCGGAUUAGCUAGUUGGUGAGGUAAUGGCUCACCAAGGCUACGAUCCGUAACUGGUCUGAGAGGAUGAUCAGUCACACUGGAACUGAGACACGGUCCAGACUCCUACGGGAGGCAGCAGUGGGGAAUAUUGGACAAUGGGCGAAAGCCUGAUCCAGCCAUGCCGCGUGUGUGAAGAAGGUCUUCGGAUUGUAAAGCACUUUAAGUUGGGAGGAAGGGCAUUAACCUAAUACGUUGGUGUCUUGACGUUACCGACAGAAUAAGCACCGGCUAACUCUGUGCCAGCAGCCGCGGUAAUACAGAGGGUGCAAGCGUUAAUCGGAAUUACUGGGCGUAAAGCGCGCGUAGGUGGUUUGUUAAGUUGAAUGUGAAAUCCCCGGGCUCAACCUGGGAACUGCAUCCAAAACUGGCAAGCUAGAGUAUGGUAGAGGGUAGUGGAAUUUCCUGUGUAGCGGUGAAAUGCGUAGAUAUAGGAAGGAACACCAGUGGCGAAGGCGACUACCUGGACUGAUACUGACACUGAGGUGCGAAAGCGUGGGGAGCAAACAGGAUUAGAUACCCUGGUAGUCCACGCCGUAAACGAUGUCAACUAGCCGUUGGGAGUCUUGAACUCUUAGUGGCGCAGCUAACGCAUUAAGUUGACCGCCUGGGGAGUACGGCCGCAAGGUUAAAACUCAAAUGAAUUGACGGGGCCCGCACAAGCGGUGGAGCAUGUGGUUUAUUUCGAAGCAACGCGAAAACCUUACCAGGCCUUGA
rnacentral:rRNA from 1 species